GACGAACGCUGGCGGCGUGCUUAACACAUGCAAGUCGAACGGAAAGGCCCUGCUUUUGUGGGGUGCUCGAGUGGCGAACGGGUGAGUAACACGUGAGUAACCUGCCCUUGACUUUGGGAUAACUUCAGGAAACUGGGGCUAAUACCGGAUAGGAGCUCCUGCUGCAUGGUGGGGGUUGGAAAGUUUCGGCGGUUGGGGAUGGACUCGCGGCUUAUCAGCUUGUUGGUGGGGUAGUGGCUUACCAAGGCUUUGACGGGUAGCCGGCCUGAGAGGGUGACCGGCCACAUUGGGACUGAGAUACGGCCCAGACUCCUACGGGAGGCAGCAGCGGGGAAGAUUGCACAAUGGGCGGAAGCCUGAUGCAGCAACGCCGCGUGCGGGAUGACGGCCUUCGGGUUGUAAACCGCUUUCGCCUGUGACGAAGCGUGAGUGACGGUAAUGGGUAAAGAAGCACCGGCUAACUACGUG
rnacentral:rRNA from 1 species